GAUGCUAAAUUUUUUAUCUAUCUACUGAAGGAUACAAGGUAAGUACACCUACUGAAGGGUGUUGGAAGGAGAAGUACUUACUGAUGAGUGCUAAACAGGUUUGGGUCAGGCUCGUGACGUUAAACAAGCGCUACCUGGACGGCAAUCCAGUUGAUUGUUUUGUUUUCAUCCUGUGUGAUGAGUCAAUAUUUUAUCGACUUCAC
rnacentral:lncRNA from 1 species